AUUGAACGCUGGCGGCAUGCCUUACACAUGCAAGUCGAACGGUAACAGGUCUUCGGAUGCUGACGAGUGGCGAACGGGUGAGUAAUACAUCGGAACGUGCCUAGUAGUGGGGGAUAACUACUAGAAAGAGUGGCUAAUACCGCAUGAGAUCUACGGAUGAAAGCAGGGGAUCGCAAGACCUUGUGCUACUAGAGCGGCCGAUGGCAGAUUAGGUAGUUGGUGGGAUAAAAGCUUACCAAGCCGACGAUCUGUAGCUGGUCUGAGAGGACGAUCAGCCACACUGGGACUGAGACACGGCCCAGACUCCUACGGGAGGCAGCAGUGGGGAAUUGUGGACAAUGGGCGAAAGCCUGGUCCAGCAAUGCCGCGUGCAGGAUGAAGGCCUUCGGGUUGUAAACUGCUUUUGUACGGAACGAAAAGCCCCGGGUUAAUACCCUGGGGUCAUGACGGUACCGUAAGAAUAAGCACCGGCUAACUACGUGCCAGCCGCCGCCGUAA
rnacentral:rRNA from 1 species